CGGUACCGUCAAAGCCGAUCCUUAUUCGGAAUCAGCCUAUUCUUCCCACCUGACAGAGCUUUACGACCCGAAGGCCUUCAUCACUCACGCGGCGUUGCUGCGUCAGGGUUUCCCCCAUUGCGCAAUAUUCCCC
rnacentral:rRNA from 1 species